GAAAAAUUUAGUGGCCUACUUUGAAUCGAAAAGAAAAGUUCAUCUAGCUACCAGAGAGUCUUCAAUAAGUUGGUCAUUUCUCUUUCUGCGCAACAGGGCUCUCGCGAUGGAGAAAAGUGCGAUAAAAGCUAUUUCCAUACGCUCAGAGCUGCUUGUCUUGAUGGAAACCUGGCCCAUCUUCUGGUUAUUGAGGUUUGCGCUCACUGACAUGUUUGUACCUCGGCUCACUCUGAAGUCAGUUUGUAAGUUUCCGCUCAACACCAUUUCUUUGUUAAGAGAGAGAACUGUCAUCGAGAGACUCAGACUUUCGUUUCUCACUGGAUAAUCCCUUCCUCUUAAAGUAGCUACAAAGCUCCCGCCAUAGGCUGCU
rnacentral:misc_RNA from 1 species